GACAGAAAUUCCUUCCUACGUCCGUAUCUCAUGCUAGACUCACCGGUUGCUGACUGGGUUUGAAGCAACAGCCCGAUCAAGGAAAUCAGAACGUAUGUGUUACAUCGGGGCGCUACGAUACCCCUACGCAGGGUCGUCAUC